rnacentral:rRNA from 1 species
CAGUAGCCGCGUAAUACGUAGGUGGCAAGCGUUGUCCGGAAUUAUUGGGCGUAAAGGGCUCGCAGGCGGUUUCUUAAGUCUGAUGUGAAAGCCCCCGGCUCAACCGGGGAGGGUCAUUGGAAACUGGGAAACUUGAGUGCAGAAGAGGAGAGUGGAAUUCCACGUGUAGCGGUGAAAUGCGUAGAGAUGUGGAGGAACACCAGUGGCGAAGGCGACUCUCUGGUCUGUAACUGACGCUGAGGAGUGAAAGCGUGGGGAGCGAACAGGAUUAGAUACCCCUGUAGUCCCUGUCUCUUAUACA